rnacentral:lncRNA from 1 species
GAGAUGCUUUACCACACGUGUCGGAUGAAUAGAGGCGCCAGCAUAGAGAUUUUUGUACGGUAGUACCCGUACCGUCCGCGUUACUCGAUGGAUUAAUUGGAAAAAAUCCGACGGUGGAUCAUUCCACCCGCAUAGGAUAUAUUGUGGGUUGCAUAAAGGCAAAAUGUGGGGAUUAUUAGUUCGGGGUGGGAAUGGAAGACAGCUAGAGGGAGAGCAACGCAUCGGCCGA